rnacentral:rRNA from 1 species
AGGACGAACGCUGGCGGCGUGCUUAACACAUGCAAGUCGAACGGAAAGGCCCUUCGGGGUACUCGAGUGGCGAACGGGUGAGUAACACGUGAGCAAUCUGCCCCUAGCUCUGGGAUAGCUCCGGGAAACCGGGAUUAAUACCAGAUAUUACUACGGCCGACAUCAGCUGUGGUGGAAAGAAUUUCGGCUAGGGAUGAGCUCGCGGCCUAUCAGCUUGUUGGUGGGGUAAAGGCCCACCAAGGCGACGACGGGUAGCCGGCCUGAGAGGGCGACCGGCCACACUGGGACUGAGACACGGGCCCAGACUCCUACGGGAGGCAGCAGUGGGGAAUAUUGCGCAAUGGGCGAAAGCCUGACGCAGCGACGCCGCGUGCGGGAUGAAGGCCUCGGGUUGUAAACCGCUUUCAGCAGGGACGAAGCGAAAGUGACGGUACCUGCAGAAGAAGCGCCGGCUAACUACGCGCCAGCAGCCGC